rnacentral:rRNA from 1 species
UACGUAGGGGGCUAGCGUUGUCCGGAAUCAUUGGGCGUAAAGCGCGUGUAGGCGGUCCGGUAAGUCCGCUGUGAAAGUCGAGGGCUCAACCCUCGAAUGCCGGUGGAUACUGUCGGGCUUGAGUACGGGAGAGGCGAGUGGAAUUCCUGGUGUAGCGGUGAAAUGCGCAGAUAUCAGGAGGAACACCGAUUGCGAAGGCAGCUCGCUGGAACGUUACUGACGCUGAGAAGCGAAAGCAUGGGGAGCGAACAGG